GGGAUGUGGUGGAAUUGGUAGACACGACGGACUUAAAAUCCGUUGCCUUGUGAAAGUGCGUGAGGGUUCAAGUCCCUCCGUCCCC
rnacentral:ncRNA from 12 species